CAAUAGCGUAUAUUAAAGUUGUUGCAGUUAAAAAGCUCGUAGUUGGAUCUGUGGUCUGCGGUGGGCUCCGGGCACUUGUUGUCUGAGUAGCUCGCCGCUGCCAUCCUUGGGUGGAACCUGUGUGGCAUUAGGUUGUCGUGCAGGGGAUGCCCAUCGUUUACUGUGAAAAAAUUAGAGUGUUCAAAGCAGGCUUAUGCCGUUGAAUAUAUUAGCAUGGAAUAAUGAGAUAGGACUUUUUCGCUAUUUUGUUGGUUUGCGCGAAGAGGUAAUGAUUAAUAGGGACAGUUGGGGGUAUUCGUAUUCCAUUGUCAGAGGUGAAAUUCUUGGAUUUUUGGAAGACGAGCUACUGCGAAAGCAUUUACCAAGGAUGUUUUCAUUAA
rnacentral:rRNA from 1 species